CCUGGCUCACUGCAGAAAGAGCACAGUAAGCAAUGGGCUACCUGCCUCCUUCACAGCCAGGACGGCAACUGGGGAGCAUUACAGGUGUUUCAGGGCCGCAGGUUGGACAUGCCUGGUGUAAAUGUAGAGAUUAUUUUAGGUUUACUAUUUUUCAGAUUACCACCUCAUGGUUGCAGCGUCAGAACUUUAAUUGGCUAAGCUGCUGUGUUACCCAAAGUCGAGAUCAGCUUGAGCGCAGCCAACAGUAAGCAGUAAAGUAACAAGCAAUGCAGAAUAUGCGCAGCAUACCUACAGCUCAGACUUGCAGUCAGUAUUCUCCAUUACCAGAUCGACCUUGAGCAGUUAUUUACAAACCAUGGUUUUGUUUUAAUACGGUUAGAUGCGUUUUUGAAAUGAUUUAAUAUUUUGGAUAAAGUUUUAAAAUGAGUUGUUUCAGUGUCCCUUUAUUUAAAGUAGGGAUUAUAUGAAAUGACAAGAUGAUUGCAGUUUGUUGGAUAAUAUUUUAAACCUGCAUUUCAUGGCUUGUUUUUGGACUAAAAGUGUAUUCCUUGAAAUAAAAAUAUUAUAUAUUUUUUUAACUAUUUUAAAAGUUAAACCAAAACAACGUUAUCAAGAUAUUUUUUCUAUGAAAUUCUUGUAUUUGUUUUUAUUUUUGUAAAUAUAUUUGUAUAACUGUAAAGUUCUGCAGUGCCGCCAUUGCUAGUCACAUGCAUCCGCAGUAUGUAAAAAGAGGGGGGCGAGUGCCCCACAAAAGUCAACAUCCUUUCAUUUCUAAGGUGACAGCAUCUACACGGAUUAAGGAUCUGUCUGCUCCCAGAAAUCUUUCUGUAGUCGCAUUUCUAGUAAAUUACAAUAAUUAUUUAAUUUUAACGAUCUGAAUUCAUUUGAAAAGUAUGGAAAGGAGACAGGUUAUUGUUGGUUUUAAUCAGCAUUUUAUAUUGCGUUUUCAGGAUUGACCACAUGUUUGGCAAUAAAAAGGGAUGAGGUGACACAAAUGAUAUCGAUAUCCAGAGAAAGCAAAGUACGUAUGAAGCGUCAAUCCAUUAAAAGAAAAAGUGCGGUAGUGAAUCCAAACUAAACAACCGGUGUAAACCGACAAAGAACGACAAUCCGCCUCCAGCCUCUAGUCUGGGGAACAGA
rnacentral:lncRNA from 1 species